rnacentral:rRNA from 1 species
AUUGAACGCUGGCGACGAGACAAAAGGCUACAACGUGUGCCGAGUGGCGAACGGGUGAGUAACACGUGAGUAAACUGCCCUUGACUUCGGGAUAACUUCAGGAAACUGGGGCUAAAACCGGAUAGUUUUGGAUGGACUCGUGGCUUAUCAGCUUGUUGGUGGGGUAGUGGCUUACCCAGGCUUUGACGGGUAGCCGGCCUGAGAGGGCGACCGGCCACAUUGGGACUGAUAUCCGGCCCAGACUUCUACAUGGGGCAUCAGUGGUGAAUAUUGCACAAUGGUCGGACGGCUGAUGCAUCAACGCCGCUUGCGGGAUGCCGGCCUUCGGGUUGUAAACCGCUUUCAGCAGCGGCGCGGUACCUGCAGAAGAAGCACCGGCUAACUACGUGCCAACAGCCGCGGUAAUUC